GACGAACUGCCCAAACGUUGUUCGGAAUCACUGGGCGUAAAGCGCACGUAGUCGGCUUUGCAAGUCGGUUGUGAAAUCCCCGGGCUCAACCUGGGAACUGCAUCCGAGACUGCAUUGCUAGAGUAUGGGAGAGGAAAGCGGAAUUUCUGGUGUAGCAGUGAAAUGCGUAGAUAUCAGAAGGAACAUCAGUGGCGAAGGCGGCUUUCUGGACCAAUACUGACGAUCAGGUGCGAAAGCGUGGGGAGCAAACAGG
rnacentral:rRNA from 1 species